CCUACGGGAGGCAGCAGUGAGGAAUUUUCUGCAAUGGGCGAAAGCCUGACAGAGCAAUACCGCGUGAGGGAUGAAGACUUACUGAGUUGUAAACCUCGGUGCCUUAAGGAAGAAGAUCUGACGGUACUUAAGGUGGAAAGCAUCGGCUAACUCCGUGCCAGCAGCCGCGGUAAGACGGGGGAUGCAAGUGUUAUCCGGAAUUACUGGGCGUAAAGCGUCUGCAGGUGGUUUUAUAAGUCUGCUGUUAAAUCUUGAGGCUCAACCUCAAAUCUGCAGUGGAAACUAUAAGACUUGAGUAUAGUAGGGGUAGAGGGAAUUUCCAGUGGAGCGGUGAAAUGCGUAGAUAUUGGAAAGAACACCGAUGGCGAAGGCACUCUACUGGGCUAUUACUGACACUCAGAGACGAAAGCUAGGGGAGCAAAUGGGAUUAGAUACCCCAGUAGUCCUAGCCGUAAACGAUGGAUACUCGAUGUUGGACGUAUCGACCCGUUCAGUAUCUUAGCUAACGCGUUAAGUAUCCCGCCUGGGGAGUACGCUCGCAAGAGUGAAACUCAAAAUUGAAAUUUGACGGG
rnacentral:rRNA from 1 species